CAGUAGCCGCGGGAAUACGGAGGGCGCGAGCGUUACCCGGAUUUACUGGGCGUAAAGGGCGUGUAGGCGGCCUGGGGCGUCCCAUGUGAAAGGCCACGGCUCAACCGUGGAGGAGCGUGGGAUACGCUCAGGCUAGAGGGUGGGAGAGGGUGGUGGAAUUCCCGGAGUAGCGGUGAAAUGCGCAGAUACCGGGAGGAACGCCGAUGGCGAAGGCAGCCACCUGGUCCACUUCUGACGCUGAGGCGCGAAAGCGUGAGGAGCAAACCGGAUUAGAUACCCCAGUAGUCCCUGUCUCUUAUAC
rnacentral:rRNA from 1 species